UACAUGUAAGCUAUCGCCAAAGGAGUGGGCCGUGCGUCUGAUUAGCAGUUGGUGGGGUAACGGGCUCACCAAGGCGACGAUCAGUAGCCGGUCUGAGAGGAUGAACGGCCACAUUGGGACUGAGACACGGCCCAGACUCCUACGGGAGGCAGCAGUGGGGAAUCUUGGUCAAUGGAGGCAACUCUGAACCAGCCAAGUAGCGUGCAGGAUGACGGCCCUAUGGGUUGUAAACUGCUUUUAUGCGGGGAUAAAUGAGCCUACGUGUAGGUUUUUGCAGGUACCGCAUGAAUAAGGACCGGCUAAUUCCGUG
rnacentral:rRNA from 1 species